rnacentral:rRNA from 1 species
ACGGAAGGCAGCAGUGAGGAAUAUUGGUCAAUGGUCGGAAGACUGAACCAGCCAAGUAGCGUGAAGGAUGACUGCCCUAUGGGUUGUAAACUUCUUUUAUGCGGGAAUAAAAAGGAUUACGUGUAGUCUGUUGCAUGUACCGCAUGAAUAAGGAUCGGCUAAUUCCGUGCCAGCAGCCGCGGUAAUACGGAAGAUCCGAGCGUUAUCCGGAUUUAUUGGGUUUAAAGGGAGCGUAGGCGGGCCUUUAAGUCAGUGGUCAAAGCGUGUGGCUCAACCAUACCACGCCGUUGAUACUGGAGGCCUUGAGUGCACAUAAGGAUGGUGGAAUUCAUGGUGUAGCGGUGAAAUGCUUAGAUAUCAUGAAGAACUCCGAUUGCGAAGGCAGCUGUCCGAGGUGUAACUGACGCUAAUGCUCGAAAGUGCGGGUAUCAAACAGGAUUAGAUACCCUGGUA